rnacentral:rRNA from 1 species
UCCUACCUACGGGGGGCAGCAGUGGGGAAUAUUGCGCAAUGGGGGAAACCCUGACGCAGCAACGCCGCGUGCAGGAAGAAGGUCUUCGGAUUGUAAACUGUUGUCGCAGGGGAAGAAGACAGUGACGGUACCCUGUGAGAAAGUCACGGCUAACUACGUGCCAGCAGCCGCGGUAAUACGUAGGUGACAAGCGUUGUCCGGAUUUCCUGGGUGUAAAGGGCGCGUAGGCGGGGUAGCAAGUUAGUCGUGAAAUGCCGAGGCUUAACCUCGGCGCUGCGAUUGAAACUGUUAUUCUUG